GACGAACGCUGGCGGCGUGCCUAAUACAUGCAAGUUGAGCGAUGAAGAUUGGUGCUUGCACCAAUUUGAAGAGCAGCGCACGGGUGAGUAACGCGUGGGGAAUCUGCCUUUGAGCGGGGGACAACAUUUGGAAACGAAUGCUAAUACCGCAUAACAACUUUAAACAUAAGUUUUAAGUUUGAAAGAUGCAAUUGCAUCACUCAAAGAUGAUCCCGCGUUGUAUUAGCUAGUUGGUGAGGUAAAGGCUCACCAAGGCGAUGAUACAUAGCCGACCUGAGAGGGUGAUCGGCCACAUUGGGACUGAGACACGGCCCAAACGCCUACGGGAGGCAGCAGUAGGGAAUCUUCGGCAAUGGACGAAAGUCUGACCGAGCAACGCCGCGGGAGUGAAGAAGGUUUUCGGAUCGUAAAACUCUGUUGGUAGAGAAGAACGUUGGUGAGAGUGGAAAGCUCAUCAAGUGACGGUAACUACCCAGAAAGGGACGGCUAACUACGUG
rnacentral:rRNA from 1 species